UGGGGAAUAUUGGGCAAUGGGCGCAAGCCUGACCCAGCAACGCCGCGUGAGGGAAGAAGGCUUUCGGGUUGUAAACCUCUGUCCUUGGUGACGAAAAAAAUGACGGUAGCCAAGGAGGAAGCCCCGGCUAACUACGUGCCAGCAGCCGCGGUAAUACGUAGGGGGCGAGCGUUGUCCGGAAUUACUGGGCGUAAAGGGUGCGUAGGUGGCCUUUUAAGUUGGAUGUGAAAUACCCGGGCUUAACCUGGGGGGUGCAUCUAAUACUGGGAGGCUAGAGUGCAGGAGAGGAAAGCGGAAUUCCUAGUGUAGCGGUGAAAUGCGUAGAUAUUAGGAGGAACACCAGUGGCGAAGGCGGCUUUCUGGACUGUAACUGACACUGAGGCACGAAAGCGUGGGGAGCAAACA
rnacentral:rRNA from 1 species